GGAUGGUUCCCACUAAGGAAGCCAGAGUUUCUUCACCAGGAGAAGGGAGAACAGGUGCCCUGGAUAUACAGAAAGCAACUCUCCAGAAGAAGAGCAGAGCUUGCUGACCCACUGAAAAGGACCUGUGAAGCUCUCGUUUCCAGCCUGGGGUUUGGUACGAUGGCUAGAACUCCAGCAGCUAUUGUGGACCAUGAAGCAGGCACCUAUGAGGAUGAAAGCCCUUUGCUAAAGAUGGCGACACAGAAAGGGUCUGGGUUUCUGGUGACCACUAUACCAGUUCUGGGCUGCCUACCUCAUGGCUUGUUUAUGCACUGUUAUUCUUGGUUAUUAUUCUAAUGGCCGAAGGUACCACUCUGGAUUGAUACAUUUAACUAAUGUCUGCAAGUCUCAGAGAAGACAUCAUUUUCUUUAGGAGGCCUUCUCUGACCUCCCACACCCCUGUCUGAAUUCCCUUUUAGGAGUUCCUCAUGCCCAGAACUGUCACAUCGUAGCCCUCAUCCCAAUACACCGUAAUUACCUGUUGUUCAUCUCUGUGCCCCCGAGCCUGGAGCUGCCCCACACUAGGGACCUUGUCUCUUCUGUUUAUCACCUUAGGCCAGCAUUAGCACAGUGUGUGACCCAUUGUGAGUGCUCAAUAAAUACCUGAACGGAUGGAUCGCUG